rnacentral:rRNA from 1 species
CGCGGUAAUACGUAGGUGGCAAGCGUUGUCCGGAAUUAUUGGGCGUAAAGGGCUCGCAGGCGGUUUCUUAAGUCUGAUGUGAAAGCCCCCGGCUCAACCGGGGAGGGUCAUUGGAAACUGGGGAACUUGAGUGCAGAAGAGGAGAGUGGAAUUCCACGUGUAGCGGUGAAAUGCGUAGAGAUGUGGAGGAACACCAGUGGCGAAGGCGACUCUCUGGUCUGUAACUGACGCUGAGGAGCGAAAGCGUGGGGAGCGAACAGGAUUAGAUACCCUGGUAGUCCACGCCGUAAACGAUGAGUGCUAAGUGUUAGGGGGUUUCCGCCCCUUAGUGCUGCAGCUAACGCAUUAAGCACUCCGCCUGGGGAGUACGGUCGCAAGACUGAAACUCAAAGGAAUUGACGGGGGCCCGCACAAGCGGUGGAGCAUGUGGUUUAAUUCGAAGCAACGCGAAGAACCUUACCAGGUCUUGACAUCCUCUGACAAUCCUAGAGAUAGGACGUCCCCUUCGGGGGCAGAGUGACAGGUGGUGCAUGGUGUCUCACUCGUGUCGUGAGAUGUGGUUAAGUCCCGCACGACCACCUGA